UGGGGAAUAUUGGACAAUGGGCGAAAGCCUGAUCCAGCCAUGCCGCGUGUGUGAAGAAGGUCUUCGGAUUGUAAAGCACUUUAAGUUGGGAGGAAGGGCAGUAAGCGAAUACCUUGCUGUUUUGACGUUACCGACAGAAUAAGCACCGGCUAACCCUGUGCCAGCAGCCGCGGUAAUACAGAGGGUGCAAGCGUUAAUCGGAAUUACUGGGCGUAAAGCGCGCGUAGGUGGUUCGUUAAGUUGAAUGUGAAAGCCCCGGGCUCAACCUGGGAACUGCAUCCACAACUGGCGAGCUAGAGUAGGGCAGAGGGUGGUGGAAUUUCCUGUGUAGCGGAGAAAUGCGUAGAUAUAGGAAGGAACACCAGUGGCGAAGGCGACCACCUGGGCUCAUGCUGACACUGAGGUGCGAAAGCGUGGGGAGCAAACAGG
rnacentral:rRNA from 1 species